rnacentral:tRNA from 1 species
CAGGGACUAGUUUAUUAAAAAUAAUUGUUUUGGGGACAAUAGAUAUAGAAUUAUUCCUCUAUGUCCCUGA